rnacentral:rRNA from 1 species
CGCGUAGGCGGCCAUCUUUGUCAGGCGUGAAAGCCCUGGGCUCAACCUGGGAAUUGCACUUGGGACGGGGUGGCUUGAGAUCGGGAGAGGAGAGUGGAAUUCCCAGUGUAGAGGUGAAAUUCGUAGAUAUUGGGAAGAACACCGGUGGCGAAGGCGGCUCUCUGGACCGAUACUGACGCUGAGGCGCGAAAGCGUGGGGAGCAAACAGGAUUAGAUACCCUGGUAGUCCACGCUGUAAACGAUGUGUGCUAGACGUUGGGGAGCCUAGCUCUUCGGUGUCGCAGCUAACGCGGUAAGCACACCGCCUGGGGAGUACGGCCGCAAGGUUAAA